rnacentral:lncRNA from 1 species
GAGGGAUCUUUACUCGAUUUGAUGUAUAAAAAGCUAAGCUGUUCGACUGCGCCUAUGGGCGAUUUUCGGGUUCCCUGAAUUUUUCUUCGAGAAUUGAAACGCACUAAUAGUACCUAUAAAUGUCGCAAACAAACCCAAAAUCAGUCCCAGGGCCGACUUGCCAAUUUUGGAAUUACGGCACGGCGGCUCUGCCGUACUCCAGUAACGGCGCCACCACUCGCGGCGACGGUCUGCAUCGAGUCGGCUAUUUUCAACCAUUUUUUGGCAAAAUUCUACUGAUUCUGCAUCGAUCCCUAC